UACAGAGGGUGCAAGCGUUGCUCGGAAUCAUUGGGCGUAAAGGGCAGGUAGGUGGUCUGAUUUGUCUGGAGGUGAAAGCCUUGGGCUUAACCCAAGAAGUGCCCCGGAAACGGUCAGACUUUGAGUCUUGGAGAGGGUUGCGGAAUUCCUGGUGUAGCGGUGAAAUGCGCAGAUAUCAGGAGGAACACCGAUGGCGAAGGCAGGUCUCUGGGCCAUAACUGACGCUGAGAAGCGAAAGCAUGGGGAGCGAACAGG
rnacentral:rRNA from 1 species